UGUAUUCUUCAUCUGUGUGUCAUCUACAAACUUUAUCAGUGAUGGUUUUGUUUUCUUCCAGAUGAAAGAACCUGGUGUACUGUUUUCGCAAGACUCAACAGGGCAUCCAUCUUAUUUGCUUGAUGAAUUCUUCCAAACUUUGCACAUAUAGAGGUAGCCAGGACAGGGAUUGUACUUCAGCCACUUGGACUGAAAUUUUUGAUGCCAGCCAGAGAUCCACACAAAGGAGCAGAUCACAGGGCUGCUGGUUCUCAAGCAUUUCCUGACCAUUCUGCCUGAGGGAAUCCAGACUUAGGUCUGGAAAUCUCAUCCACAGACUGGUGAUGAGGAUCUGGCCCUGGAAGAAGAUUUCCAGCUAAUUCAUCAAGAAUCUAAGAGACUUGGGCAACAGGUUCAUCUUGGAAGGGUUGUCUGUGGGGAUGUUAGACAUUGUCUGGUAUUCAGAGAAGAGUUGGAUGAAAGGUUCCCAGCCAAAGGCUUCCUGCAGCUGAAGAGCAUGAAAAAAAACAGCAUUAAAAGUGCAUCAUUCUCCGCUAAGGUAGGUCUCCAGUGCAGUCCAGACAUUCCAAUCCUUUAGCUGGGCUCCUUUGCCAAGAAAUUGGCAAAUAAUUCGCAAAGAACAAUAAAUCGGACCAAUUAAACCCUUUGUUGUGGUCUGGAAUUAUCCUCUGGAUAGCUCCUCGAAUUAAUUCCUUAGUCAGUGUUACUGGAUGAAUACUUAAAACAAGUCAGUUCAAUUUCAGCAUGAAGAAAGGUGCUGGAUUGACAACUGUGGUUGGAUAACAAAACACUCAGUAAAUCCACAAAAAAGACACAGCCUGGGCAGGGGAAGAACAAGCUUCUAAAUUACACACCACCUCCUCUCAAUUGAUCUCAAUUUCUUGGCAGGACCACCCCUUGUGGUGAGAAGUUAGUUCAGUCUUCAUGAUCCAGUCUAUCCUUGGCCUCUGAUUCUCAACACAGGGCAUAAAUAAUUCUAAUCAUGAUGGUUGUUUGUUGGUGUGGACUGGACUGACAUCCACCAAGUAAUUUCAGAUAGACCACUGAGUCAUCCUCAGAUGGCACUGAGUCCUGUAAAAUGCUGCAUGCUCUGGCCCCAGUCCAACAAAGCAUUUAACAAUCAGCAGGAGCAUAAUUGUACAGCUGGACAGGGAUGUAUAAGUAGUGUGAUGAAAUUGACCAAGAGACAUUUAUAGUGGUGAGAUCUACUAACGUAGAAUAUAGAAUAGUCUUCUUCAAAGGAAGCUCCAUGAUUGGAGUCAUUUAAAUCUAGGAAUGAACAAAGGACUAGAAAGUAUAUUGUAGGUGGAGGGGGUUGAAUUACAUUUGCUAAACUACAGAUCUGCUGAAGUUCGGUUCACUUACACGUAACUAAGCCAGUCACAGCAUUUGCUACUUUGGAAUUUAGAAUUUGACAGAUAUCAAAAGCUUACAAAUGGCAUUUGUAUAGAGCAUUUGCCAAGGAUCAGGGUGGGUAUUCAAGCUUCAGAAUUGACCAGGCAGCUCACUAGUGGAUUGAAUAAAUGUACCGAACAUUCCCAGUUUCUAAAAUCCUUCUAUUAAUAGCAUAUAUUUUUCCCUCUCGGUAUUUUGACCAUCUCUAGCUGUGUAGAAUAAUUUUGCACUGGUAAGGAGAGCUGCUGUACUGUGAGUUGGGUAUGACCAAUUCCUUUCUCCCAGCUUCUAGAGUAAACUGAGGCAGGAGCUGACAGCUCGAAUAAGGGUAUGCUUGGGAGAGGAUCUUCACUAUAAAUAGAGUUACACUGUUAGAGGGUCCCACUGUAUUCACCACAUUUUGUGUCUUGGUGAAAAGCUCAACAGAGGUUAGUGACUUUCCAAGGUGUUAUAGUGAGUGGCAGUGGAAGAACCAGCAUUGCAAUUAGAGUUCCUGGCUCCCAGCCUCCAAUUGAAUCCUUUACCCCAGAGUGUCGGUCUUUUGCCUUUUAUGGAAAUACACCAUACUCACCGGCUG